ensembl:lncRNA
GAGAUGACUUCUCUUUAUGCUUUCUAGAAGUUAUUAUCAAAAUCCAAUGUUGAUCUCCCAAGCCCACUUUAGAAGAAAAGAGUGAAACGUAAUCAGAGCAGUUAAAAGCAGAGGCUCCCGUGUGAGACAGGUCUGUCCCAGCAGCUGUGUGUCCCCAGACAACUCGCUUCACCUCUCUGAGCCAGAGGAGACAGGCAACGCCUGAGUAUUGGGUGUCCUUACCACCACCAGGAAUGAAAGAUGCCCAAUAACCCGGUGUGUCCAAGAAAACUGCAACUUGGGAUGGGCCACCUACAAGGUGAUGAGCUGUAUCCUGGUGACCAGGCUGUUUUUCUGGAAGCAUGGGCACCCUUGGCCUUGUCUCUGUGCCUGCUCCUUAACUGGCCCUCGCUUCCCUCCCCUUCCUCACACUGGGGCAAUGCCCAGCUGGCAGCACCCCACCCAGGCUGCACGGGCACUGAAUGUGACAGCAUCUGUCACCAUGGCAGGGAGCUGGCAAGCCUGAAGCACUGGCCUGGGCCAGGGUCCUCAGAGCCCAAGAGGCAGGAGAUGGGAGGGGGUGGAGGCUGGAGCAGGGACCCACCUCUCCUCCUUCGGUAUAUUUCAUAUCACAGAUGUUUCCCAGGAGUGUAAAACAGAAUUCACCUUUUCUGCUCCCACACCUGCCCCAUCUCAGUGAUGGUACCUCUUUCCACCUCUUGUGUCAGCCAGAAUCCAGGGGUCAUCUCCUCUGUCCCUCAGCUCCCACAGCUAGGCAAGCCCCAAGUCUCUCCACGCUGGACUCUGAAAUUGUUUGCUCAGGUUGCCAUGACAGCUUGACGGCUCAGGCUUGGGAGCAUGAACAACAGAAAUCUAUUUUCUCACAGUUUGGAGGCUAGAAGUCUGAGAUCAAGGUGCGGCAGGGUUGGUUCCAUCUGAGGCCUCUCUCUUUGGCUUAGAGAUGGCCGCCUUCUCCCUGUGUCGUUUCCUAGUCCUCCCUGUUUGCUUGUCUUGUCAUAAUCGCCACUUAUGAGGACACUAGUGAUCUUGGAUUAAUGCCCAUUUUAAUGACCUCAUUUUACCUUAAUUACUUUUAAAGGCCCUAUCCUCAAACACAGGCACUUUCUGAGACACUGAGAAUUCAGACUUCCACAUGUGAAUUUUGAGGGCACGCAACUCAGUCCCUAACAGACUCAAAUCCCCUACCUUCCCCGUGCUCACAGCCCCUGUCCUCACAGCCUGGCCUCAUCCUCGUGCUCUGACUCCCUCUGCUCACCCCUCCAGCCCACUCACCCCCUGCAGGCACCCUGAUCUGAUCGUGUCAUUCUCCUGGUGAAAACUUGAAAACUUGCCCUGUUGAAAAAUUGUGCUGGCCCCUACCUGCUUCUCCAGUCUCAGCUCAGUCUCACCACCCACCUGCCCAAUACCCAUCACCCCAAAAUCAGGAGCGAGUAAAUUUGCUAGCAAUUUAGCAAAGCCUACCCUACACAGGGGCUGGUCUAAGCUCUUCAGAUGGUUUAUCUGAGUUAAUCCUCAUCAACCCUAUGGUUGACGCUGUCAUUAUCUCUAUUUAAUAGAGGUAGGUGCUGUCAUUAUCUCUACUUAAUAGAUGAAGACACUGAGGCAUAUAAAAAGUCAAAAAUUUGCUGAAGAGCAUACAGCCAAGGUGUGUAAAGCAGGACUCAAACGAAGGCCGUCUGCCUACACAACCAUGCUCCUGACACCUGCACUCAAUGUGUUAAGCUGUCUCAGCCUCUGCGCUCUGGCUCAGCUCUUCCUGCUGCCUGGAAUGUCUUUCCACUCCUGCUCUGCCUCACAAACUUGUACGCAUGCUUCAAAACCCAUCUCAGCCUUCCCUUGGAUGAUAGCUUUUGUUCUAUGCUGUGCCUACUCCCCAUAGAGCACUCACCAGUCAUAGUUUGAGGCAGUCGUUGGGGACAUGUCCAUCACCCUCAGGACAGGCACCAGAUCUGAUCCAUCUCUACAUUCCCCCCGCUAGGGGUGGGCCAAGCCCAGAGGCCAACACCAGUGAACGGAUGAGUGAAUGAACAAAGGAGUGAAUGAACAAAGGAGUGAAUGAAUGCCUCGUCACAUACAGAUCGUUAACCUGGGCCUACCUUUGAGGAUAGAUUCCAAUUCUUUAUUAAAAGAGCCAGAUGUCAGACUUCCCGUCAUGGCUCAGUGGUUAACGAACCCGACCAGUGUCCAUGAGGACAUGGGUUUGAUCCCUGGCCUUGCUCAGCGAGUUAAGGAUCUGGUGUUGCUGUGAGCUGUGGUGUAGGUCGCAGACUUGGCUCAGAUCCCACGUUGCUGUGGCUCUGGUGUAGGCUGGGAGCUGAGGCUCCAACUGGACCCCUAGCCUGGGAACUUCCAUAUGCCGCGGGUGCAGCCCUAAAAAGACAAAAAGACAAAAACAAAAACCAAACACACACACAAACAAAAAAGAGCCAGGUGUUUCAAAUCCCUCAAAUUUCUGCUUUUGGAGAAAAAGAAAGUAAAACACAAAUACAUGUAUAAUUUUCUCAUGGAAAUUUACCUUUUUUGCCCCAUUUUUAUUCCUGACCCCAGUACAGCUUUUAGGCCUUUGUAAAAAAUUUAUACUUGCUCUCCGAAGGCAGGAAGAGGUUAUCUAAAGCUCCAGGAGCUCGCCUCUGCUUCGAGAUCAGGAGAGAGAGAAAAUAACACAAGGGAAGGAGAAAGUCUUAGCGCCCCAUGGGUUCCUUCCACAUCCAAAGAGUUGCAAAUGAUGUUUUCUUUGUUUAAAAAAAUCAUAAUAAAGUAUUUGUUUUUAUAAAAAUGACCCAGCUCGUUGUAAGAUUGAAUAAGAUUUAACCCCCCCAGAAAAGGACAGAAAGGAAAAUUAAAUUACUCCAUAUCACACCUCCCAGCUGCUUACACCAGUGUAUCAUUUGCAGUCAUCAAGUUACGCCUAAGAUGUGAGCACUCUGCUGUGUGUGUUAUAUUUUAAUAAAAAUCUCACCGCCCAAAGAAGGCUCUUGAUAUCAUCUUCCAGACCUCACAUCUGCUUUUUGUAACAUCCUGACACUUGUGUCUAGCCAAUAACUCUUUCUUGAGUACCUACUCUGUGCCAGGCUCUGACUGGGUCCUGGGAUUAGAGGGUGGAGCUGCCUCUAACCGGCGGACUUUAACCAAAUAAUGACAUGCAUAACUAUUUAGCUACAACUGUAGCC